UGGCUGUCUACAUCAUAGUAAGAUAGUCCCAACAAAACAAAUGAGUUAAAAAAAACCCAAAUACCCGUAACUGUCUAAAAUACCCCUUAUUCUUACUCAACCCCAAAAUAACUUAGCAAAUCAUCCCACGUAUUUUACUCGGUUCCGUUGAGUAUCUUCAUCUAUUUCUCUUUCUUGGUCUCUCAAUAAUAUCAGAUCUAAGAAUUCAUUUUCCCUGUCUUCAUCGGUAGCGAAAAUCAUCCUCCGAUUUUCGAUAUUCCGUUAUUCUCUUCUUCAAUGAUUACUUACUUCAACCAAUGAAUCUAAUUCUAACCUAAUUUGUCUCAAUUUUCUGACCUAAAUCCUCCCAAACAACAAAAUUGGGAAGAAGCAAACUCAACGAGAGAAAAAGAGAGAUGAAAAGUUAAAGAAAACAAUGAAAAACUCUAAAAGGGAAAAAAAGAGAAACAGAGCCAUAUAUGUGCUCAUUGUAUCAUUUGUGCGUAGAAGCAUCUGUAAUAAAGUCUUUGAUACAAAAUAAGGGACAACAUAUGCAGGCUAUUUUUUCAUCUCCAUUUUGGCGUUUUUUUCAAACCUUUCUAAGAAAAUCUAUUGAAAGAUGACGAGUUAAAUAAAAAGACGAAAGCCGUCAAGAUGAUCAACAAGAAAAGGUGCAAAAUGUGAAAACAAAGCUGGCCUCUAAGAUCCUCCUUGACAAAAGAGAAUAAUACUCGCAUACCGUGCCUAAAAUACAGUUCUUAUGGAAGAUUCAGUUUUUGUUGAAGUUUAGAUUAUUUGUAAAAUGGUUAUCGACUAAUUGUAAUGGUGACAAAUUACAGUUUCUGUAAAAAAAUAUUUAAUUGAUUUCAGUUUAUAGUCCC